rnacentral:rRNA from 1 species
GAUGAACGCUAGCGGCAGGCUUAACACAUGCAAGUCGAGGGGCAGCGCGGGUAGCAAUACCUGGCGGCGACCGGCAAACGGGUGCGGAACACGUACGCAAUCUGCCUCUGUCUGGGGAAUAGCCCGAAGAAAUACGGAUUAAUACCCCAUAAUAUAUAUGAGUGGCAUCACUUGAAAAUUAAAACUCCGGUGGACAGAGA